AUUCCUGGAGACUCUGGAGAUGUCCUCAGAGACGGAGGACAUGUGGAAAACUCUGAGCAAACUGUCCCUGGAGACCCGCCAGCUCCACAUCAGAGAGGUGCUUUGCUGCCUUGGGGGAUGUCUCCAAAGUUCGCUUUCUGAACGAGACUAACAAUAUCGCUGACCAAGUCUCAAAGGAAUGGUACAGAGUUCUACCAAGUCAAAGUACGCCUUGCCAUGCUGGACAAGAACUACAAGCCAGCAGAGUUGUACUAUAUGGAGCAGGGCCACCCAGAGCUGAACAACCUGCGUCACAGCUACUACCAGUGGCUGAUGGAGACCAACCAGCAUGAGAAGGCUGGCGAGGUCAAAGAGGGGGAGGAGGACUUCA